UGCAGUCGAGCGGAUGAAGAGAGCUUGCUCUCUGAUUCAGCGGCGGACGGGUGAGUAAUGCCUAGGAAUCUGCCUGGUAGUGGGGGACAACGUCUCGAAAGGGACGCUAAUACCGCAUACGUCCUACGGGAGAAAGCAGGGGACCUUCGGGCCUUGCGCUAUCAGAUGAGCCUAGGUCGGAUUAGCUAGUUGGUGAGGUAAUGGCUCACCAAGGCGACGAUCCGUAACUGGUCUGAGAGGAUGAUCAGUCACACUGGAACUGAGACACGGUCCAGACUCCUACGGGAGGCAGCAGUGGGGAAUAUUGGACAAUGGGCGAAAGCCUGAUCCAGCCAUGCCGCGUGUGUGAAGAAGGUCUUCGGAUUGUAAAGCACUUUAAGUUGGGAGGAAGGGCAGUAAGCGAAUACCUUGCUGUUUUGACGUUACCGACAGAAUAAGCACCGGCUAACUCUGUGCCAGCAGCCGCGGUAAUACAGAGGGUGCAAGCGUUAAUCGGAAUUACUGGGCGUAAAGCGCGCGUAGGUGGUUUGUUAAGUUGAAUGUGAAAUCCCCGGGCUCAACCCUGGGAACUGCAUCCAAAACUGGCAAGCUAGAGUAGGGCAGAGGGUGGUGGAAUUUCCUGUGUAGCGGUGAAAUGCGUAGAUAUAGGAAGGAACACCAGUGGCGAAGGCGACCACCUGGGCUCAUACUGACACUGAGGUGCGAAGCGUGGGGAGCAACAGGAUUAGAUACCUGGUAGUCACGCCGUAAACGAUGUCAACUAGCCGUUGGAAGCCUUGAGCUUUUAGUGGCGCAGCUAACGCAUUAAGUUGACCGCCUGGGGAGUACGGCCGCAAGGUUAAAACUCAAAUGAAUUGACGGGGGCCCGCACAAGCGGUGGAGCAUGUGGUUUAAUUCGAAAGCAACGCGAAGAACCUUACCAGGCCUUGACAUCCAAUGAACUUUCCAGAGAUGGAUUGGUGCCUUSGGGAACAUUGAGACAGGUGCUGCAUGGCUGUCGUCAGCUCGUGUCGUGAGAUGUUGGGUUAAGUCCCGUAACGAGCGCAACCCUUGUCCUUAGUUACCAGCACAUUAUGGUGGGCACUCUAAGGAGACUGCCGGUGACAAACCGGAGGAAGGUGGGGAUGACGUCAAGUCAUCAUGGCCCUUACGGCCUGGGCUACACACGUGCUACAAUGGUCGGUACAGAGGGUUGCCAAGCCGCGAGGUGGAGCUAAUCCCAGAAAACCGAUCGUAGUCCGGAUCGCAGUCUGCAACUCGACUGCGUGAAGUCGGAAUCGCUAGUAAUCGCGAAUCAGAAUGUCGCGGUGAAUACGUUCCCGGGCCUUGUACACACCGCCCGUCACACCAUGGGAGUGGGUUGCACCAGAAGUAGCUAGUCUAACCUUCGGGAGGACGGUUACCACGGUGUGAUUCAUGACUGGGKGAAGUCGAACAAGG
rnacentral:rRNA from 1 species